rnacentral:rRNA from 1 species
GUAGGUGGCAAGCGUUGUCCGGAAUUAUUGGGCGUAAAGCGCGCGCAGGCGGUUCCUUAAGUCUGAUGUGAAAGCCCACGGCUCAACCGUGGAGGGUCAUUGGAAACUGGAGAACUUGAGUACAGAAGAGGAAAGCGGAAUUCCACGUGUAGCGGUGAAAUGCGUAGAGAUGUGGAGGAACACCAGUGGCGAAGGCGGCUUUCUGGUCUGUAACUGACGCUGAGGCGCGAAAGCGUGGGGAGCAAACAGGGAUUAGAUACCCUGGUAGUCCACGCCGUAAACGAUGAGUGCUAAGUGUUAGGGGGGUUUCCGCCCCCCUUAGUGCUGCAGCUAACGCAUUAAGCACUCCGCCUGGGAGUACGGCCGCAAGGCUG